rnacentral:lncRNA from 1 species
AAAAUUGCUGGUGAAACAUGCAGGGGCAUAAAUUUGCCCCUGAAACAAAACACAUGGAUACAGAGUUCCUGGAUAAAGGGAACAGAUUUAAAGGUUAUAUUGUAACUAAGUAGGGAAUUACACUCUGUCAACACUUUCAGUCCCUGUAUGCCUCAGUUUAUUUUCCAUUCUUUUCUAGGCACCUAUGAGUUUUGGCAGACCUCAAUCUGAAUUAUCUGUAAACUGGUUUAUAUUUAUCAGAUAUCCUGCAUUUUCAACAACCUCCCAGACCUUAAACUCCUUUUUGGAAGUUACCUUCAGUGGCUUUGCAUUAUGUCUGACCCAUGGUUGAUAUUGAUUGAGUGGAUGAGAGACUGCCAAGGACGCUUUCUGAAAUCUGCUAAGCAAAGCUGGUUCAGACAGCCUUCUCUGAGUUUAUUUUACCAGCUUAGGUCCUGCUGAACUCUAAAGGAUUUCAGACACCAGAACAGCUGUGUUUAACCUCGUCUGUUAGUCCCCGCUCAAGAAACCCAUCUGAAUUGGCAGUGCUUCUCAUAACACAAGUGACACUAAAUUACAAAUGGAAAAAGUGUUUGGUUUAAAAUAAAC